rnacentral:misc_RNA from 1 species
GAUGAAGAACGUAGCGAAAUGCGAUAAGUAAUGUGAAUUGCAGAAUUCAGUGAAUCAUCGAAUCUUUGAACGCACAUUGCGCCCGCCAGUAUUCUGGCGGGCAUGCCUGUUCGAGCGUCAUUUCAACCCUCAGGCCCCCAGUGCCUGGUGUUGGGGAUCGGCCCAGCCUUCCUGUAAGGCCGCCGGCCCCGAAAUCUAGUGGCGGUCUCGCUGUAGUCCUCCUCUGCGUAGUAGCACAACCUCGCAGUUGGAACGCGGCGGUGGCCAUGCCGUUAAACACCCCACUUCUGAAAGUUGACCUCGGAUCAGGUAGGAAUACCCGCCGAACUUAAGCAUAUCAAUAAGCGGAGGA